AGUUUGAUCAUGGCUCAGAAUCAACGCUGGCGGCGUGCCUCAGACAUGCAAGUCGAACGCGAAAGCCCCCUUCGGGGGGCAAGUAGAGUGGCGCACGGGUGAGUAACACGUAGGUAAUCUACCUUCGGGUGGGGAAUAACAACCGGAAACGGUUGCUAAUACCGCAUAAUGCAGCGGCACCUAAUGGUGACAGUUGUUAAAGCGGGGGAUCGAAAGAUCUCGCGCCUGAAGAGGAGCCUGCGGCGGAUUAGCUAGUUGGUAGGGUAACGGCCUACCAAGGCGACGAUCCGUAGCCGGCCUGAGAGGGCGGUCGGCCACACUGACACUGACAUACGGGUCAGACUCCUACGGGAGGCAGCAGUCGGGAAUUUUGGGCAAUGGGCGAAAGCCUGACCCAGCAACGCCGCGUGAAGGAUGAAAUCCCUCGGGAUGUAAACUUCGCAAGAACGGGAAGAAUAAGUAGGGGAUAAUACCCCCUAUGAUGACGGUACCGUUUGUAAGCUCCGGCUAACUCCGUGCCAGCAGCCGCGGUAAUACGGGGGGAGCAAGCGUUGUUCGGAUUUACUGGGCGUAAAGGGCGCGUAGGCGGCCACCGCAAGUCAGUUGUGAAAUCUCCGAGCUUAACUCGGAAAGGUCAACUGAUACUGCGGGGCUAGAGUGCGGAAGGG
rnacentral:rRNA from 1 species